CUGGGAAUCAAUGUGUGAGGUGGUGCUAUGUAGCAGGAACCCCUCUUGCUUUGCAAAUAGUUUUUUGUUUGUUUUCCUUUUUGCCCAAUAGAGCCCUGCUCUACUGACCCUUCAAUGUGCCCGUGUGCCUAAAUAUUCCUGGUCGUGUGAAAAGAACCCAGGUAUUAGCUGAACUAAGGAGCACAAUUCUGCAACAUUUUGGCACCCAAACACGGGGCUUGAGAAAUGAAUGCAAUUGGAGAAACUGGUUGUUUUACCAGGCGUUGAUUGGAAAUGUGUGCUUCCCUUUAAGCAGUCAAGCUCAACUUGCAGAACUGAUGGGAACCCCUUGGGAAAACUGGCCUCAAAUGUUUGUCUACACAGUCCACAUACAGGGUUCUUAACCUGCGAUGAGGGAAACUUCCCAGGGCUUGUCUGGGUAUGCCCACAGUGGACUGGAGCCCAAAAUGCACACUGGAGGAAGUGGAUGGAGCCACGUGGAUGUCAUGCCUUAUGCAGGGGAGGAGCCUGCUCUCUUCAGCUCCUGUGGUAAUGUGGGAAUCGAUCUGUGAGGAAACACUUUCUGAAAAUGUCAGAACUCUUGAAAACAUGGAUGAGGAAAAGCAUAAGUACUGCUUUAUGCUUUUCUUAUGAAUUUUAAAAGAUGUAAUUUAAAGAUUGAAACUCCCACAACUUUGGCAGACCAACUCCUCAGAAAACAUUAUUCUUUGACAUCAAUAUGUUUUGCACAAAAUUGAAUGGCAAGUGAAAGGCAUCAAAUGGAGCUGUCAUUUAAAUGUGCUUGCCAACUAGCUUGUUUAUCAAAACAUUCCAGACCCUUUCAAAUUCUCAUUUACAUUGUUUCUUGUUUACCACACCCAUAAAUUUGUAUUACCAGCAUAUUUAACUAUCCGGCUAUUUUGGAGAUUGAAAAAAGAAGACCUGAUUUAUCAUGUGCAAUAUCUCACACAUCUGUCAUUUCUAUUCUACCGCAAUUCGAUGGAGUCUUGUUCUGUGGUCCAGGCUAGAGGGCAGUGGCAUGAUCUCGGCUCACUACAAGCUCUGCCUCCCGGGUUCACGCCAUUCUCCUGCCUCAGCCUCCUGAGUAGCUGGGACUACAGGCGCCCGCCACCACGCCUGGCUAAUUUUUUGUAUAUUUACUAGAGAUGGCUAGUGUUAGCCAAGAUGGUCUCGAUCUCCUGACCUCGUGAUCUGCCCACCUCAGCCUGCCAAAGUGCUGGGAUUACUGGCGUGAGCCACCGUGCCUGGCCAGCAUCCUCUAAUUAUUAUUCAUAGUUUGUGAAUUUAGGCCUACGUGAAUAAUAAUAUAAUAUUUACUAUGAUGUUACUAUCUACCAACCUUAUUUUUCUUUUCUAUAAAAUAGGAGCCAAAAUAAUAUUUAUGUCAUACCUUAUGAAGUUAAAAUAAAAUAUAACGAAUGAGGGGCUUAA
rnacentral:lncRNA from 1 species